UCGAUCUCUUCUCCUGUGUCAUUAUCGGCGGCGGCGACGACGACGAUGGCGGCUUGCAUCGUGGUUGGGGGCGUGAUAUUGGCCGCAAAAGAAGAGCUCGCUCGACGGCGUCCUCCACUGCAGUACGUGGUUCCUCUUCUCACCGGCCAAUGGCCUCAACGUCAAUGACCAGGUCAUCGGCUUCACCUGCAGCGCAGCUACUUGAAGAGCCUAUAUAGGAAAAUAGGUUAGUACUCCUGGGAGUACAUACUCCUACACAGGUCUCUUGUUGUUUCGUUCGCCCAUUCCAUCGCUCACCCCGCAUUCCUUUAUUUUGCCUGUUAAUUAACUAAAAUAAUAAUACGUGAAAAAAAAAUCUAACUAAACAAGGUCAUUGCUCCGAUUUUCCUGGAGGUUUAUUGUUUAGCUGGCGACCUUAUCCAGUUGAACGCAUAUCGAUCUCUUCUCCCGUGUCAUUAUCGGUGGCGACGACGGCGACGAUGGCGGCUUGCAUCAUGGUUGGGGGCGUGAUAUUGGCCGCAAAAGAAGAGCUCGCUCGACGGCGUCCUCCACUGCAGUACGUGGUUCCUCUUCUCACUGGCCAACGGCCUCAACGUCAAUGACCAGGUCGUCGGCUUCACCUGCAGCGCAGCUACUUGAAGAGCGCCAUGCAAGAGAACAACGACGCCCAGUUUUUCCCACUCGACGUAGGAGUCUAAUCCGAGUUCUUCCAACCCAUAAGCAGCUGGUUUGGAAGCCCACUAAUCAAGUAAUAUUAGGUACCUUUUCGAUUUGUCUCAUUACCAUCUAGUACAUACAUAAAUUCCUCAUGGCCGAAAUCUAAUCCCGUUGAGCGCCAUUGAUUCUGGCGGCUCUCCUUCUGACUUCUUUCGGGUAAACAGGGCAGAAACCACCACGGAUCCGAUGCGACAUGUUUGCGUGUGCAAUAUUUUCUGCAUUUUUCCUUCUUGAUAAUGCUGUGGUCAUUGAUACCAAAUAUUUGGUAUAUUCAUCGCGCGUUAGUGAGAAUAUGAGCCAAAUCCAUCAUGCCCUGAGUGUAGUUCUAGUAAACUAGAUGAGUAUAUUCAUCAAUGAAAUCAGGAUAUACAUCCACCUUCGUUUAAUUGCCGUGGCCACUGUCCAAUUGAUUGGAGAACCAGAGGAGACUCACCUUCUCUCACCCCAGCUACCUAAUUAAACUCUUAUUCUUCAAGAUCUACACAAAUUUUCAUAUAUCAGGUCAGCUACUGUCCUUCCUCGUGUAAACAAACUUUGAAGCUCUUUUUACUCUGUUUCUUUGUGGAUGCUUGGUACACGUAGUUCAGUUUUUUCGUAUAUAUAGCCAGGGACUUUGAUAUAUUGUACAGUUAUACAAAUUAUUUUUCAAGCAAAUCUAACUUAUGUUGCUAAUUGUUUCCAUUGAAUAUCCAUGGAUGCAAUGCAUGUAGGUUUGUGUGACUGAGGAGCAACUCCAUGCGAUGUACAGAAGCAUAUCUGCAGUUUCCCGGAAGACAUAAUCCUUCUUUUCUCCAUUUUUUUGUAGCAUUUAAAACUUUUUGAAGAUGUAAAAAUAGUUGCAUAGUCCAGUUUUCUUGAUCAGUAUAAAUGUUUCUGCUAUAUGCAAAUUUCUGUACAACGAGUGCAUCUUUUAAGCAUGUUCUGCUAGAUAGACCAAUACUUCUAUCUGAAGUAGUAUACACUUCUUUGGCAAUAUUAAUAUGUAUUUCUUUGGUUACAAGCACUGUAUAGUUCUUCGAAUGAUAA